rnacentral:lncRNA from 1 species
CCACAUCGACAUUGUACUUUUAACUUAAACAUAACAUAGACUUAGGUACUUACUUAUCGUCAAAAAAUACAAGUUAUGAAGGGUAGGAAUUUAAUAUUAUUAAGAAAACUGCCUGUGCGUUGCAACAGAAAAAAAAUAACACAAGUUCCUAGCCCAAUAUAAUAACCAUAGCUCAAGAUCUGAAAUAUACCCUAUACAUUCGUCCAUGAUACUACCUCUCGCAAUUGACAUCAAAUGUCAUGGACUUGUUCCACUGUUUUUCCAUUGAGGUAGGAUGGGUCCCUCACAUGUCCCCGCAUGACCACUUAGUGUCUAAUCACCGCCUAAUGGGCGCCAAUUUGUCGCACCACACAUGCACACAACUCGAGGCCAUGGGGUCUAGGGUCGAAUUUUUUCUCCAUGACUUUGAUUUCUCCUCCCCUUGAUUUGCCAACAAAACCGAAGCCCAAAUCAGUCUUCCACCCUAUUUGAGGCUUCUUGAGGCACCAACCAAUUGGAAGGAAGCCCAGCGGCUCAUAUUUUCAUAGUCCGAAAGAGGUUGCAUGGUUUGGACUUCAGACUCGAGAUGGCUCAUAUUGAAAAUCGCAUUGAGCACUAUUACAAAGAAAAAAAGCGAAAAGAAAACACAAAACCAAAUGAAGCAUGUAGUUAGUUUUGUGGACUUAAAAACUGAUUUAAGUACAAUACAACAUGAAUCACAUACUUGCGCCCUGGUUAACAUGUUUGCUACCACAAAUGAUUUACAUUGUAACACUAAGAUACAAACAACAAUAGAUGUCCCAGCCUUUUCUUAAAAAUGAUUUUCUUAAAAAUGAAAUUCUUUGCAUUGAACAAAGGCAUCAUUAAGUUCUAAGUAACACCAACUUUACACCCUUUUUUUCUGUUCCAAUUCUGAUAAUAUGACCAAGUACAAUUUGAGGUUGAUGUUUACAUGCAAGCAAGGGGGCAAAAAAAGGUUCUCCAAGCAAGAGACUGAGAAUAUCCAUGGAUGGAUAUUACCUGCAAAAAUUCCCCACAAUUAUCUUCUUUGUUGAAUGCAUCUUCAGCAAACGGGAUAAUUGACGAUAACCCCCUUGUUGGCAAAUCCUUCAUCAUAUGCCCCCUACCGCUGUCUUUGAGAAUAUCCGUGGAUGGAUAUUACCUGCAAAAAUUCCCCACAAUUAUCUUCUUUGUUGAAUGAGACUUGUCUGCUGAUUCACACGUACAUGAAACCUACAGUUGGUCCUCUAAUUCGUUUGAUGAAGUUAGAAUUCUUUUUGAAUGCAUAAAAUCUGUUGGGACUGCUUCUUAUCAGAAAAUUGUUAGCUGGAGUUGAAGCAUACAAAAGUAGAAAAGAAUGUAAGUACAUAUAUGUUCAGUAAACGCAGGUGAGUACCUAACAUAUUUAUGGGAAUCCAAGGUUUUAUGUCUGUUCAUCAAGAAGAUAUGCAUGGACAGAUAUAUUGAUGAAUGGAAGCACUGGCAAUAGCAGAAGGAUUGCUGAAAAGAAACAUUAUUGAUUCAAUAUCCAGUCAAAGCUUUUUUAUCACCAAACAGGGACAACCAAAGUGCUAGUCUGGUACUAACUUCCAUCCACCCCACCGCAUGAAUAACUUCAACAUUGCACGACAACGAACGACGGGAGUGUGUAGUCAAGAAAAAAGCAGGCAAAACAACAAACAUGUGUCCGACUGAAAAUGCAACUUUAACUAUCCGACUGAAACCACAAACAGUUAACCCAGCAGUCACUUGCUGUUGCAAGACAAUGCGACUUUAACUAUCUGACUGAAACCACAAGCUACAGGCCUGAAGAAGAGAUGGCACAAAUCCUCAACUUAACUAACUGGCCACUUCUAUUGCUGGAAAAACAUCUCUCUCCGAGUCUCUGUAGCACAGUACCAUCAGGUGACACCAGCCAGCAGCCAACAAACCAGAUUUGUUCUGUAAAAAUUAGAUCCCAGAUGAAUCCCCGAAUCAAAGCAGGGCAGCACCGCACCAGCAGAUUACAACCUGAUCAUAGAACAUGAAGCAAAACAUAAUUGUGGAAGACUGAAGAUUAUGUGGGCUUAUUGAUUCCAGCCUGGAGAUUAUAAUCCGCAAAAAUAGGGCAGUAUUAAGAUGUAGAUUUCUAGAGUUGUUAUACU